rnacentral:rRNA from 1 species
UACGUAGGGGGCAAGCGUUGUCCGGAAUCAUUGGGCGUAAAGAGCGUGUAGGCGGUCCGGUAAGUCGGCUGUGAAAGUCCAGGGCUCAACCCUGGGAUGCCGGUCGAUACUGCCGGACUAGAGUUCGGAAGAGGCGAGUGGAAUUCCCGGGUGUAGCGGUGAAAUGCGCAGAUAUCAGGAGGAACACCGGUGGCGAAGGCGGGUCUCUGGGCCGGAUACUGACGCUGGAGGAGCGAAAGCGUGGGGAGCGAACAGG